rnacentral:rRNA from 1 species
AAGAAGGCUUUCGGGUCGUAAAACUCUGUUGUUGGAGAAGAAUGGUCGGCAGAGUAACUGUUGUCGGCGUGACGGUAUCCAACCAGAAAGCCACGGCUAACUACGUGCCAGCAGCCGCGGUAAUACGUAGGUGGCAAGCGUUAUCCGGAUUUAUUGGGCGUAAAGCGAGCGCAGGCGGUUUUUUAAGUCUGAUGUGAAAGCCCUCGGCUUAACCGAGGAACCCCAUCGGAAACUGGGAAACUUGAGUGCAGAAGAGGACAGUGGAACUCCAUGUGUAGCGGUGAAAUGCGUAGAUAUAUGGAAGAACACCAGUGGCGAAGGCGGCUGUCUGGUCUGUAACUGACGCUGAGGCUCGAAAGCAUGGGUAGCGAACAGGAUUAGAUACCCUGGUAGUCC